rnacentral:rRNA from 1 species
CAGGCCUAACACAUGCAAGUCGAACGAGGUUAAUUAUUACGAUUUCCUUCGGGGAUGACGAUUUUUAACCGAGUGGCGGACGGGUGAGUAACGCGUGGGCAACCUGCCCUUUACUGGGGAAUAAUCGUUGGAAACGAUGACUAAUACCGCAUGUCACCGAGGACUGGCAUCUUUCCUCGGAAAAAGGAGCAAUCCGGUAAAGGAUGGGCCCGCGUCUGAUUAGCUAGUUGGUGAGGUAACGGCCCACCAAGGCGACGAUCAGUAGCCGACCUGAGAGGGUGACCGGCCACAUUGGGACUGAGACACGGCCCAAACUCCUACGGGAGGCAGCAGUGGGGAAUAUUGCACAAUGGGGGAAACCCUGAUGCAGCGACGCCGCGUGAGUGAUGAAGUAUUUCGGUAUGUAAAGCUCUAUCAGCAGGGAAGAAAUUGACGGUACCUGACUAAGAAGCCCCGGCUAACUACGUGCCAGCAGCCGCGGUAAUACGUAGGGGGCAAGCGUUAUCCGGAUUUACUGGGUGUAAAGGGAGCGCAGGCGGAAGGCUAAGUCUGAUGUGAAAACCCGGCGCUCAACGCCGUACCGCCGUUGAAACUGGCGCGCUCGAGUUUGUGCGAGGAUGGCGGAAUGCGCGGUGUAGCGGUGAAAUGCAUAGAUAUCGCGCAGAACCCCGAUUGCGAAGGCAGCUGUCCAGCACACUACUGACGCUCAUGCACGAAAGCGUGGGUAUCGAACAGGAUUAGAUACCCUGGUAGUCCACGCGGUAAACGAUGAUAACUAGUUAUCCGGCGCGAUUGUGUGCUGGGUGACCGAGCGAAAGCGUUAAGUUAUCCACCUGGGGAGUACGCCGGCAACGGUGAAACUCAAAGGAAUUGACGGGGGCCCGCACAAGCGGAGGAACAUGUGGUUUAAUUCGAUGAUACGCGAGGAACCUUACCCGGGCUCAAACGCAAGGCGCUACACCCUGAAAGGGGUGGUUCUUCGGACGUCUUGCGAGGUGCUGCAUGGUUGUCAUCAGCUCGUGCCGUGAGGUGUCGGCUUAAGUGCCAUAACGAGCGCAACCCCCAUCUUCAGUUGCCAACGGGUUAAGCCGGGCACUCUGGAGAGACUGCCGGCGCAAGCUGUGAGGAAGGCGGGGAUGACGUCAAAUCAGCACGGCCCUUACGUCCGGGGCGACACACGUGUUACAAUGGCGGGGCUACAGCGGGGAGCCAGGCGGCGACGCCGAGCUGAUCCCGAAAACCCGUCUCAGUUCGGAUCGGAGUCUGCAACCCGACUCCGUGAAGCUGGAUUCGCUAGUAAUCGCGCAUCAGCCAUGGCGCGGUGAAUACGUUCCCGG